rnacentral:rRNA from 1 species
UGAAUACGAGACGCUAAGGCGUCGAAGUAGUGUAUGUCAUACUUCCAAGAAAAUCUUGCACUGUCAUAGAUAAAAAACGCCUGUACCAUAACCGACACAGGUGGGUAGGUAGAGUAUACUAAGGGGCGCGAGAUAACUCUCUCUAAGGAACUCGGCAAAAUAACUCCGUAACUUCGGGAGAAGGAGUGCCUUAUUCGUAAGGUUGCUAUAACAAGAUCCAAGCAACUGUUUAUCAAAAACACGGGUCUCCGCUAAGUCGUAAGACGAUGUAUGGGGGCUGACGCCUGCCCAGUGCCAGAAGGUUAAAGAAGUUGGUUAGCAAUUGCGAAGCUGAUAACUGAAGCCCUGGUGAACGGCGGCCGUAACUAUAACGGUCCUAAGGUAGCGAAAUUCCUUGUCGGGUAAGUUCCGACCCGCACGAAAGGCGUAAUGAUUUGGAUACUGUCUCGGAGAGGGGCUCGGUGAAAUAGACUUGUCUGUGAAGAUGCGGACUACCUGCACCAGGACAGAAAGACCCUAUGAAGCUUUACUGUAACUUGAAAUUGAAAUUGGACUUUAUUCGCGCAGUAUAGGUGGGAGGCGUUGAUUAUAAUCUUGUGGGAUUAUUGGAGCCAUCAGUGAGAUACCACUCUUGUAAUGUUAGAUUUCUAACUUUGAAUCAUUAUCUGGUCAAAGAACAGUUUCAGGCGGGCAGUUUGACUGGGGCGGUCGCCUCCUAAACGGUAACGGAGGCGUACAAAGGUUUCCUCUGAACGGUUAGAAAUCGUAUCUAGAGUGUAAAGGCAUAAGGAAGCUUGACUGUGAGACCUACAAGUCGAGCAGGGACGAAAGUCGGUCUUAGUGAUCUGACGGUACUGAGUGGAAAGGCCGUCACUCAACGGAUAAAAGUUACUCUAGGAUAACAGGCUGAUCUCCCCCAAGAGUUCACAUCGACGGGGAGGUUUGGCACCUCGAUGUCGGCUCAUCGCAUCCUGGGGCGGUAGUACGUCCCAAGGGUUGGGCUGUUCGCCCAUGAAAGCGGUACGCGAGCUGGGUUCAGAACGUCGUGAGACAGUUCGGUCCAUAUCCGGUGUAGGCGUUAGAAUAUUGAGAGGAGCCUUCUUUAGUACGAGAGGACCGAGAAGGACAUACCUCUGGUGUACCAGUUAUCGUGCCAACGGAAAACGCUGGGUAGCUAUGUAUGGAGUGGAUAACCGCUGAAAGCAUCUAAGUGGGAAGCCCACCUCAAGAUAAGUA